rnacentral:rRNA from 1 species
GGAGGAAAGAACCAACAGGGAUGCCUUAGUAACGGCGAGUGAAGCGGCAAAAGCUCAAAUUUGAAAUCUGGCACCUUCGGUGUCCGAGUUGUAAUUUGAAGAAGGGUAACUUUGGAGUUGGCUCUUGUCUAUGUUCCUUGGAACAGGACGUCACAGAGGGUGAGAAUCCCGUGCGAUGAGAUGCCCAAUUCUAUGUAAAGUGCUUUCGAAGAGUCGAGUUGUUUGGGAAUGCAGCUCUAAGUGGGUGGUAAAUUCCAUCUAAAGCUAAAUAUUGGCGAGAGACCGAUAGCGAACAAGUACAGUGAUGGAAAGAUGAAAAGAACUUUGAAAAGAGAGUGAAAAAGUACGUGAAAUUGUUGAAAGGGAAGGGCUUGAGAUCAGACUUGGUAUUUUGCGAUCCUUUCCUUCUUGGUUGGGUUCCUCGCAGCUUACUGGGCCAGCAUCGGUUUGGAUGGUAGGAUAAUGACUAAGGAAUGUGGCUCUACUUCGGUGGAGUGUUAUAGCCUUGGUUGAUACUGCCUGUCUAGACCGAGGACUGCGUCUUUUGACUAGGAUGUUGGCAUAAUGAUCUUAAGCCACCC